GACGAACGCUGGCGGCGUGCCUAAUACAUGCAAGUUGAGCGAUGAAGCUUGGUGCUUGCACCAAUUUGAAGAGCAGCGAACGGGUGAGUAACGCGUGGGGAAUCUGCCUUUGAGCGGGGGACAACAUUUGGAAACGAAUGCUAAUACCGCAUAACAACUUUAAACAUAAGUUUUAAGUUUGAAAGAUGCAAUUGCAUCACUCAAAGAUGAUCCCGCGUUGUAUUAGCUAGUUGGUGAGGUAAAGGCUCACCAAGGCGAUGAUACAUAGCCGACCUGAGAGGGUGAUCGGCCACAUUGGGACUGAGACACGGCCCAAACUCCUGCGGGAGGCAGCAGUAGGGAAUCUUCGGCAAUGGACGAAAGUCUGACCGAGCAACGCCGCGUGAGUGAAGAAGGUUUUCGGAUCGUAAAACUCUGUUGGUAGAGAAGAACGUUGGUGAGAGUGGAAAGCUCAUCAAGUGACGGUAACUACCCAGAAAGGGACGGCUAACUACGUG
rnacentral:rRNA from 1 species